AGGGGCAGCAUGGUCUUAGCUUGCUAAGGCCGAUGGCGACCGGCGCACGGGUGAGUAACACGUAUCCAACCUGCCGUCUACUCUUGGACAGCCUUCUGAAAGGAAGAUUAAUACAAGAUGGCAUCAUGAGUCCACAUGUUCACAUGAUUAAAGGUAUUCCGGUAGACGAUGGGGAUGCGUUCCAUUAGAUAGUAGGCGGGGUAACGGCCCACCUAGUCUUCGAUGGAUAGGGGUUCUGAGAGGAAGGUCCCCCACAUUGGAACUGAGACACGGUCCAAACUCCUACGGGAGGCAGCAGUGAGGAAUAUUGGUCAAUGGGCGAGAGCCUGAACCAGCCAAGUAGCGUGAAGGAUGACUGCCCUAUGGGUUGUAAACUUCUUUUAUAAAGGAAUAAAGUCGGGUAUGCAUACCCGUUUGCAUGUACUUUAUGAAUAAGGAUCGGCUAACUCCGUGCCGGCAGCCGCGGUAAUACGGAGGAUCCGAGCGUUAUCCGGAUUUAUUGGGUUUAAAGGGAGCGUAGAUGGAUGUUUAAGUCAGUUGUGAAAGUUUGCGGCUCAACCGUAAAAUUGCAGUUGAUACUGGAUAUCUUGAGUGCAGUUG
rnacentral:rRNA from 1 species